rnacentral:precursor_RNA from 1 species
AUAGCGUAUAUUAUGUUGCUGCAGUUAAAAAGCUCGUAGUUGGAUUUCUGACUUGGCGCACCUGGCCCGCUACGGUUACGUGUGUGAGUGCCGGGAUGCGCCUGUCACUUUUCUGGUAAACUAUUGUGCCCUUCAUUGGGUAUGAUAGGUAGCCAGAUAUUUUACUUUGAAAAAAUUAGAGUGUUUAAAGCAGGCGUUUGCUAUGAAUACAUUAGCAUGGAAUAAUAAGUUAGGACUUCGGUUCUAUUUUGUUGGUUUCUAGGACUGAAGUAAUGAUUGAUAGGGAUAGUUGGGGGUGCUAGUAUUCAGCGGCCAGAGGUGAAAUUCUCGGAUUCGCUGAAGACUAACUUAUGCGAAAGCAUUCACCAAGGAUGCCUUCUUUAAUCAAGAACGAAAGUUGGGGGAUCGAAGACGAUCAGAUACCGUCGUAGUCUCAACCAUAAACUAUGCCGACUAGGGAUGAGUGAUCGUUGUUUUACGACUUCAUUCGCACCUUAUGAGAAAUCAAAGUCCUUGGGUUCCGGGGGGAGUAUGGUCGCAAGGCUGAAACUUAAAGGAAUUGACGGAAGGGCACCACCAGGAGUGGAGCCUGCGGCUUAAUUUGACUCAACACGGGGAAACUUACCAGGUCCAGACUCAGUGAGGAUUGACAGAUUGAAGAUCUUUCUUGAUUCUA